rnacentral:misc_RNA from 1 species
UGUGUUGCUUACCUACGCGAAGGAAUUCGUCUGUACCGUUUCCCCUUUCCGCCCGAUGCCCUCCGUGGGCGUGGGGCGGACGCCAGGCACGCCACGCGUUCCUCGCACGCCUCGCCUCGUCGCGGGGUCGUCGAGGCCCGCGUAGCGAUCGCCCGUUCCCUAGGACGCGGAACGUCACGCACGCACGGGUUGCGGGGUCUCGGCCUCUGCCCGCCCGAGCCAUGCGUUCGUCCCCCGACACGAACGACCGCCACGGCCGUCUUGACCGCGUCGUAGCCAACGCGCUCGACGGGGUUCACGCGGACGUCGGCGUCGUCGAGGAAUGCUACCUGGUUGAUCCUGCCAGUAGUCAU